GCCGAUUCCGAGGCAGUAAAAGAAAGAACAAUGGGAAAGCGAAGCCAUGCUCCGCAUGCCGCCCAAAAACCUCGAGUCCAACGGCGGUAGUGCUCGCCGAUUCAGCAACCCUAAUCCUGCCCAAAGCUUACCGCUAGCCGCUGGCCGUGCAAUGGCCUCCGUGCGCGCGCGCGAUGCUCCGCCACCGCCGGUGAUUAGGAAGGCCGGGAGGUACACCGUUUUCAUCACCCCUCCCCGCACCCCGAAGCCUUGUGAGGAUUCUGGUUCGAAAAGCACGAGCCCUGAGGCCGAGCCUGUUUCCAGCCCUGGAAAGGUGGUUCUUUUACCAGAAACGACUGUCCGUUCGCCGUCGCCGAUGGCUCUGGAGGUUUCCUCACCCAUAGUUAGCGCUAGCCCUGGAAAGGUGGUCCCUUUGCUUGAGAAGGUUUCUCCUUUGCCGCCUCCGGUGCAGGUCCCGCCGCUUCAAGUCGAGAAGCAGGCCGCCAAGUCAUCCGGAUCCGUGUUCGGGUUCUUCUGGGACGCCAUUACCAGAGUUCAAGAUGCGCAUUCAAACUUGGAUGAGUGUUUAGCGGAUUGGUUCUGCUUAAACCAGUCAAAAUAUCAGUGGGCCUUGAACGAUUACUACGAUUAUACUGGAAAGAAGGAAAGGGGUAAAGGUGAUAAGUUGAAAGAAAUAGGUCGUAAUGGGCAAUCUGUAUGACACUUUGCAUCAGAAAAGCUUCUCCGAAUUGGUUCCAAGUUUGAAAUUGUUCAGUAGCUAUGUAUGAUGCAACCGUCUCCAUAUCGGGUCCAACCAAGGGGGCUCAAUGUUCUGAAUUGAGAAACAGAAAUAAACUGAGGGAAGAAGAAGAGAAACUUACUAGCUUGAUCAGUGAUCAACAAUGGAAGAUGUUUUCUUGUUCAGUACAAAAGGGGAAGCCUACAGAUGAAGAAAGACUUUCUUUCCUGACACUAAAUGGAUGAAAGAAAUCUUAUCAAGAAUGAAAGAGACUUGUUAAUCAAAUUUCUCAAAUUUUCUUUUUGAAGUAUAUUAUGCUUGUGUUCUUGAUUGGUUAGAUGGGGCAGUCGCUGUUUGGUGAUGGCUGCUAAGCUAUCGUUUAUCCUUUGGAAGCUAGUGUGGGUGGCUGAUGUUUUGGAGUAAAAAACUUAAAAACAAUUUCAAUAAUUAGGGCAGUUGAAGGUUUGCCUA